rnacentral:rRNA from 1 species
AAUAUCGGACAAUGGGGGCAACCCUGAUCCAGCCACGCCGCGUGUUUGAAGAAGGUCUUCGUAUUGUAAACCACUUUAGGUGGGGGGGACGGGCUUUGGGUUAAUACCCUGUAGUUUGACCGUUACCAACAGAAUAAGAACCGCCUAACUCUGUCCCAGCAGCCGCGGUAAUACAGAGGGUGAAAGCGUUAAUCGGAAUUACUGGGCGUAGAGCGCGCGUAGGUGGUUCAGUAAGAUGGGUGUGAAAUCCCUGGGCUUAACCUGGGAACUGCUUUCAUAACUGCUGAGCUAGAGUACGGUAGAGGGUAGUGGAAUUUCCUGUGUGGCGGUGAAAUGCGUAGAUAUAGGAGGGAACACCAGUGGCGAAGGCGACUACCUGGACUGAUACUGACACUGAGGUGCGAAAGCGUGGGGAGCAAAC